AAUGGGAAAUUGAGAGGGGGGCUGGCAGAGUGACCCAGCUCUUUGCUACUGACUCCUUUCUGCCCACGCCAAGAUCCUUGAGAAUACGUUAAGUGACCCUCAUUAGAGGCCCUUAAAACGAGAAAUUGGCAAAAUAGGGGAAGGCUCCCCAAUUUUCGGGGCUGUUUUUAGAGCGCUGUUCUCUUUAAAUGUGAUAAAACACUAUCGGCACUGUCUCUUUAAAAGAGUCAAGCAGAAAAAGCUGUGUAAGCGCUGAUUGGCUGCCUGUUUGGAUACAUCUUUAGGGGAGCCUUGAAACUGUUAGCCUAGGUUGAUUUUUUUUUUUAACUGCGCUGUUCCAAUAAACAAGUAACGCCCCUCCCCCUAACAUGCCUCGCACCAAACAAUUAAAGGAUAGGUCAGUGUCCUGGGGAAAACACGUUUCAAGUGGAAAAACUCAGAACUAGAUUUCAACAAAAUAAACAAUAAUUCCGUACCAUUAAAGUUUGCUUAUUUUGCUCUGUAGAAGAGAGAAAAGGGGCUUUUAUAAGAAAUGCCCCGCAGCAAACUGAUCUGCAUUGGUUCAGGAAGGAGACUCUGGGUACAUUUUUGGAAUAAUGUUCUGCUCAGUCUAACAGCCUCCCUAAAUUAAAAUAGAGCCAGGCCCUAUGGACACCUCUGGAUUCACUCCGCUCAGCCAAAGACCCAGAGCUCACGGAGGGGAAGGGGGAAGAAAAAGGGAAACAUUGAACCCUAGUUUGGGGUUGUCUCUGUUCCAGUUCCUAGUUUAAGGUUAUUUUAUCAAUGAGGGAAGAAGCAUGGAGAUUGGGAGUUGAAAUACCAUGAUAGGGGAGAGAAGGAAAUAAUUACAGUUAUUUUUUCCCUUAGGCGGUUUAAUUUAAUAGAGCCAACUUAAGGUGCCUGAGAGCCCACACUAAUGAAAUCGGCCUGCUUAUGCCCUUUCCCUGGACUUCCUUCUGUUUUUGAUGGACUAGGAAUGGCCAGGGAUGGCUUGUCAACACACUGACUCACAAGAUGCCUGACUCAUCUUGUGUCUGCAAGGCCCACAGACGAUUGAGGAUCGCUAGGUUCUGACGGAGGGAAAGCACUGCCCACUUACAGAGGCAGUGUCUCCCAGAGGACAGCAGGAUCCAAGUCUGAGUCAUCUGUGUAUCUCCCAAACCCAGCAAGAGUUUGAUACCUGUGUGCAUAUUGACACUCAUAGGACCUGUUCAAUGAAUACCUACUAUGUGCCAAGCCCUCUCCUAGGCCCUGAGUAAUAAACCAGACAGAAGUCCUUAGCCCUUUGAGCUUCCACUGGUGAACUUCUCCACCCAAGGCCUCUUCCUGUGAAAUACUCCUAAUACCUCCAAAAUCCA